UUCUGCUAAUACCACCUAGAGAUAGGGGUAGGACGAUCAAUUGUAUUUUGCUUCUGUUUGUCAAGCAUUAUCGGUUACUAGGGGAGGCUAGAGAUAGCAAGCCAGUAAUUGGUAAUAGGUUCUUUUCGCCAAGAGAUUGGGUUUAGGGUAGACUAAGAAAGUUUGUAUGACAAUAUCAUAAAUAAGCUAAGUAGAUAAGAAGAGUAUAUAUAAGAGGGUGGAUAAGAUGAAAUUGUAAACCCCAACAACUCCAUUCAUCCAUAGUAUUUUCUAGCCAAUUGAUUCACUGCAUUUUGCAUGUUUACUUUUGUUCUUU
rnacentral:lncRNA from 1 species